UGAAUACGAGACGCUAAGGCGUCGAAGUAGUGUAUGUCAUACUUCCAAGAAAAGCUUGCACUGUCAUAGAUAAAAAACGCCUGUACCAUAACCGACACAGGUGGGUAGGUAGAGUAUACUAAGGGGCGCGAGAUAACUCUCUCUAAGGAACUCGGCAAAAUAACUCCGUAACUUCGGGAGAAGGAGUGCCUUAUUCGUAAGGUUGCAAUAACAAGAUCCAAGCAACUGUUUAUCAAAAACACAGGUCUCCGCUAAGUCGUAAGACGAUGUAUGGGGGCUGACGCCUGCCCAGUGCCAGAAGGUUAAAGAAGUUGGUUAGCAAUUGCGAAGCUGAUAACUGAAGCCCUGGUGAACGGCGGCCGUAACGAUAACGGUCCUAAGGUAGCGAAAUUCCUUGUCGGGUAAGUUCCGACCCGCACGAAAGGCGUAAUGAUUUGGAUACUGUCUCGGAGAGGGGCUCGGUGAAAUAGACUUGUCUGUGAAGAUGCGGACUACCUGCACCAGGACAGAAAGACCCUAUGAAGCUUUACUGUAACUUGAAAUUGAAAUUGGACUUUAUUCGCGCAGUAUAGGUGGGAGGCGUUGAUUAUAAUCUUGUGGGAUUAUUGGAGCCAUCAGUGAGAUACCACUCUUGUAAUGUUAGAUUUCUAACUUUGAAUCAUUAUCUGGUCAAAGAACAGUUUCAGGCGGGCAGUUUGACUGGGGCGGUCGCCUCCUAAACGGUAACGGAGGCGUACAAGGGUUUCCUCUGAACGGUUAGAAAUCGUAUCUAGAGUGUAAAGGCAUAAGGAAGCUUGACUGUGAGACCUACAAGUCGAGCAGGGACGAAAGUCGGUCUUAGUGAUCUGACGGUACUGAGUGGAAAGGCCGUCACUCAACGGAUAAAAGUUACUCUAAGGAUAACAGGCUGAUCUCCCCCAAGAGUUCACAUCGACGGGGAGGUUUGGCACCUCGAUGUCGGCUCAUCGCAUCCUGGGGCGGUAGUACGUCCCAAGGGUUGGGCUGUUCGCCCAUGAAAGCGGUACGCGAGCUGGGUUCAGAACGUCGUGAGACAGUUCGGUCCAUAUCCGGUGUAGGCGUUAGAAUAUUGAGAGGAGCCUUCUUUAGUACGAGAGGACCGAGAAGGACAUACCUCUGGUGUACCAGUUAUCGUGCCAACGGUAAACGCUGGGUAGCUAUGUAUGGAGUGGAUAACCGCUGAAAGCAUCUAAGUGGGAAGCCCACCUCAAGAUAAGUAUUCUCAUU
rnacentral:rRNA from 1 species